CCAAAUGGGUGGUAAACAUCACCUAAGGCUAAAUAUUGGCGAGAGACCGAUAGCGAACAAGUACCGUGAGGGAAAGAUGAAAAGAACUUUGAAAAGAGAGUUAAACAGUACGUGAAAUUGUUGAAAGGGAAACGAUUGAAGUCAGUCGUGCUGGCGCGAAAUCAACCCCCUCGUCAGGAGAUCACUGUUGUGGCGAGCCUCAAAACCGUCACAGCGUGUGAUCUCACGAUGAGUGGGAGCACUUUCGUGUCCGCUGGUUAACAUCAAUUUCGAACGUCAUAAAAAGGCUGGAGGGAUGUGGCUCCUUCGGGAGUGUUAUAACCUUUAGCGGAAUGUGGUGGUCGGGAUUGAGGAUUGCAACGAAUACCUUUAGGGCUGUUCCACCUGGCCUCUCUUUGGUAUCCUGGCGACGACAGCUUGCUGACUUUGUUAGGAUUCGCCAUUGAACAGGCUAGAGUGUGAGCAAAUUCGUUAAGGAUGUUAACGUAAUGGCUUUAAACGACCCGUCUUGAAACACGGACCAAGGAG
rnacentral:rRNA from 1 species